rnacentral:rRNA from 1 species
AACUCCAACCCUUUGUGAACCUUACCGUCGUUGCCUCGGCGUGAGCUACGGCUACCCUGUAACUACCCUGGAGCUACCCUAGAGUUACCCUAUAGCUACCCUGCACUUACCCUGCACUACCCUAUAGCUACCCUAGAGCUACCCUGGAGCUACCCUGUAGUCGGCUUCGGCCCGCCGAAGGACCGUUAAACUCUUGUUUUUACCACUGUUUCUCUGAAUUUUAAACUAAAAUUAUUAAACUUUCAACAACGGAUCUCUUGGUUCUGGCAUCGAUGAAGAACGCAGCGAAAUGCAUAAUAAUGUGAAUUGCAGAAUUCAGUGAAUCAUCGAAUCUUUGAACGCACAUUGCCCCAUUAGUAUUCUAGUGGCAUGCCUAUUCGAGCGUCUUUCACCCCUAAGCCCUUGUUGCUUAGCGUUGGGAAUCUACGGCGUAGUUCCUCAAAGUUAGUGGCGGAGUUAGGGUACCUCUCACGUAUAUUUCUCUCGCUCGUGUGGUGGCCCUGGCUGCUAGCCGUUAAAACCCCUAUAUUUUCUAGUGUUGACCUCGGAUUAGGUAGGAAUACCCGCUGAACCUAAGCAUAUCUCUACGCGGAGGAAA